GAUGAACGCUGGCGGCGUGCCUAAUACAUGCAAGUCGAGCGAACGGACGAGAAGCUUGCUUCUCUGAUGUUAGCGGCGGACGGGUGAGUAACACGUGGAUAACCUACCUAUAAGACUGGGAUAACUUCGGGAAACCGGAGCUAAUACCGGAUAAUAUUUUGAACCGCAUGGUUCAAGAGUGAAAGACGGUCUUGCUGUCACUUAUAGAUGGAUCCUCGCUGCAUUAGCUAGUUGGUAAGGUAACGGCUUACCAAGGCAACAAUGCAUAGCCGACCUGAGAGGGUGAUCGGCCACACUGGAACUGAGACACGGUCCAGACUCCUACGGGAGGCAGCAGUAGGGAAUCUUCCGCAAUGGGCGAAAGCCUGACGGAGCAACGCCGCGUGAGUGAUGAAGGUCUUCGGAUCGUAAAACUCUGUUAUUAGGGAAGAACAUAUGUGUAAGUAACUGUGCACAUCUUGACGGUACCUAAUCAGAAAGCCACGGCUAACUACGUG
rnacentral:rRNA from 1 species